rnacentral:rRNA from 1 species
GACGAACGCUGGCGGCGUGCUUAACACAUGCAAGUCGAACGAGUUGCGAACGGGUGAGUAACACGUGGGUGACCUGCCCUGCACUUCGGGAUAAGCCUGGGAAACUGGGUCUAAUACCGGAUAGUGUGGGAUGGUCCCGCGGCCUCUCAGCUUGUUGGGGGGGUAAUGGCUACCAAGGCGCGACGGGUAGCCGGCCGGAGAGGGUGGACGGCCAAAUGGGGACUGAGACACGGCCCAAACUCCUCCGGGGGGAAGAAGUGGGGAAUAUUGCAAAAUGGGGGCAAGCCGGAGGCAGCCAGGCCGCGGGUAUGAAGAAGGCCUUAGGGUUGUAAAGUAUUUUCAGCGGGGAGGCGUUACCCGCAGAAGAAGCACCGGCUAACUCCGUGCCAGCCGCCGCGGUAAUAC